UCAAGGGAGAAGAAGGUUGCAACUAUUUGUGUACUUUUUCCAAGUAAAUGUGACAUAUCAUAUCUGCUCAUCUCUGCCAUCUUGCCAAAUGGCCCCAUUAGAGACAGGUCUGCCUUGGAGAUGCUAUGAACCGCACCACCCAAGUGGAACUACUGAAAGCAUUGGAUGAAAUCCUGGAAGUUAUGCCAUUUACAAUGGGACCAGGAUUUCACCCAUUGUGUCUUCACAGGGGAUACUUCUGUCCAGAACUCUUGGGGAGUAGCUGGAGUGCCAACCCAGGGAGCAUGGAGUGUGCUCUUUGCCUCUGGUCUCUUUCUCAAAGUCUACCUAUUUGAGAUGGUGAAUUUGAGGCACAGAAGGGGAAAAGAUAUUUCCAAAUUCACAUAAUUGGAUUGAAAUUGCAUUGAGGCAUGGACCAUCUUUUACUCUCUCCUUUUGUUUAUCUAUGUAUUUAUUUAUUUAUUUAUUUUUGUUACUGUUGUCAGCACAAUGGAGCCUGAGUAUUGACUGU